rnacentral:rRNA from 1 species
GGGGAGUACGACCGCAAGGUUGAAACUCAAAGGAAUUGACGGGGGCCCGCACAAGCGGUGGAGCAUGUGGUUUAAUUCGAAGCAACGCGAAGAACCUUACCAGGUCUUGACAUCCUUUGACCACUCUGGAGACAGAGCUUUCCCUUCGGGGACAAAGUGACAGGUGGUGCAUGGUUGUCGUCAGCUCGUGUCGUGAGAUGUUGGGUUAAGUCCCGCAACGAGCGCAACCCUUGAUUUUAGUUGCCAGCAUUUAGUUGGGCACUCUAAAGUGACUGCCGGUGCAAGCCGGAGGAAGGUGGGGAUGACGUCAAAUCAUCAUGCCCCUUAUGACCUGGGCUACACACGUGCUACAAUGGAUAGUACAAAGGGUCGCGAAGCCGCGAGGUGGAGCUAAUCCCAUAAAACUAUUCUCAGUUCGGAUUGUAGGCUGCAACUCGCCUACAUGAAGCCGGAAUCGCUAGUAAUCGUGGAUCAGCAUGCCACGGUGAAUACGUUCCCGGGCCUUGUACACACCGCCCGUCACACCACGAGAGUUUGUAACACCCGAAGUCGGUAGGGUAACCUUUAUGGAGCCAGCCGCCGAAGGUGGGACAGAUAAUUGGGGUGAAGUCGUAACAAGGUAGCCGUAUCGGAAGGU